rnacentral:rRNA from 1 species
AGUGAACGCUGGCGGUAGGCCUAACACAUGCAAGUCGAACGGCAGCACAGUAAGAGCUUGCUCUUACGGGUGGCGAGUGGCGGACGGGUGAGGAAUACAUCGGAAUCUACUUUUUCGUGGGGGAUAACGUAGGGAAACUUACGCUAAUACCGCAUACGACCUACGGGUGAAAGCAGGGGAUCUUCGGACCUUGCGCGAUUGAAUGAGCCGAUGUCGGAUUAGCUAGUUGGCGGGAUAAAGGCCCACCAAGGCGACGAUCCGUAGCUGGUCUGAGAGGAUGAUCAGCCACACUGGAACUGAGACACGGUCCAGACUCCUACGGGAGGCAGCAGUGGGGAAUAUUGGACAAUGGGCGCAAGCCUGAUCCAGCCAUACCGCGUGGGUGAAGAAGGCCUUCGAGUUGUAAAGCCCUUUUGUUGGGAAAGAAAAGCAGCAGGUUAAUACCCCGCUGUUCUGACGGUACCCAAAGAAUAAGCACCGGCUAACUUCGUG